rnacentral:rRNA from 1 species
GGGGGGGGGGGGGGGGGGGGGGGGGGGGUGCAGGGCGGGCGGCGGCAGGGUAAGGGCUUGCUCGUACGGGUGGCGAGUGGCGGACGGGUGGGGGAUACAGCGGAAUCUACUUUUUCGUGGGGGCUAACGUAGGGAAACUUACGCUAAUACCGCCUACGACCUACGGGUGAAAGCAGGGGAUCUUCGGACCUUGCGCGAUUGAAUGAGCCGAUGUCGGAUUAGCUAGUUGGCGGGGUAAAGGCCCACCAAGGCGACGAUCCGUAGCUGGUCUGAGAGGAUGAUCAGCCACACUGGAACUGAGACACGGUCCAGACUCCGACGGGAGGCAGCAGUGGGGAAUAUUGGACAAUGGGCGCAAGCCUGAUCCAGCCAUACCGCGUGGGUGAAGAAGGCCUUCGGGUUGUAAAGCCCUUUUGUUGGGAAAGAAAAGCAGCAGGUUAAUACCCCGCUGUUCUGACGGUACCCAAAGAAUAAGCACCGGCUAACUUCGUG